CCUGGCUCAGGAUGAACGCUAGCGGCAGGCUUAACACAUGCAAGUCGAGGGGCAACGCGAGUAGCAAUACUUGGCGGCGACCGGCGCAAGGGUGCGUAACGCGUGAGCAACAUGCCCGUAUCAGGGGGAUAAUCCAGGGAAACUUGGUCUAAUACCCCAUAGUAAUUUUGUAAGGCAUCUUAUAAGAUUUAAAGCUUUGGUGGAUACGGAUUGGCUCGCGUGACAUUAGCUGGAUGGUAAGGUAACGGCUUACCAUGGCUAUGAUGUCUAGGGGUUCUGAGAGGAAGGUCCCCCACACUGGAACUGAGACACGGUCCAGACUCCUACGGGAGGCAGCAGUGAGGAAUAUUGGACAAUGGAUGGAAAUCUGAUCCAGCCAUGCCGCGUGAAGGAAAGAAGGUCCUAUGGAUUGUAAACUUCUUUUGUAUGGGAGCAAUAAGGCCUACGUGUAGGUUGAUGAGAGUACCAUACGAAUAAGCACCGGCUAACUCCGUGCCAGCAGCAGC
rnacentral:rRNA from 1 species